rnacentral:rRNA from 1 species
CCCCUGGGAAACAGGGAGUGCCCUUCGGGAACCCGGUGACAGGUGCUGCAUGGCUGUCGUCAGCUCGUGUCGUGAGAUGUUGGUUAAGUCCCGCAACGAGCGCAACCCUUGUCUUUAAUUGCCAUCAUUUAGUUGGGCACUUUAAAGAGACUGCCGGUGUUAAGCCGGAGGAAGGUGGGGAUGACGUCAAGUCCUCAUGGCCCUUAUAGGUGGGGCUACACACGUCAUACAAUGGCUGGUACAAAGGGUUGCCAACCCGCGAGGGGGAGCUAAUCCCAUAAAGCCAGUCGUAGUCCGGAUCGUAGUCUGCAACUCGACUACGUGAAGUCGGAAUCGCUAGUAAUCGUGGAUCAGAAUGUCACGGUGAAUACGUUCCCGGGUCUU